AUACGGAGGACGCGAGCGUUAUCCGGAUUCAUUGGGUUUAAAGGGUGCGCAGGCGGCCGUGCAAGUCAGCGGUGAAAGCCCGGGGCUCAACCCCGGAAGUGCCGUUGAUACUGCAUGGCUUGAAUGCGGUCGAGGCGGGAGGGAAGUGGGGAGUGGGGGUGGAAUGCGUAGAUAUGCCACAGAACGCCGAUAGCGGAGGCAGCUCGCCAGGCCUGCAUUGACGCUGGGGCACGAAAGCGUGGGGAUCGAACAGGAUUAGAUACCCUGGUAGUCCACGCCGUAAACGAUGGGCGCUCGUCGUCGGCGGCAGACAGUCGGCGGCCAAGCGAAAGCGAUAAGCGCCCCACCUGGGGAGUACGGUCGCAAGGCUGAAACUAAAAUGAAUUGACGGGG
rnacentral:rRNA from 1 species